AAUAAUAACAGGUAUCUUAUCAGGUUGUGGUAAGAUCAAAUAACAUUAAUUAAAGCAUUUAGAAUAAUGCUUGGCACAUAGUAAGAAUUUAAUAAAAGUUAAUUAUUAUUUAUCUUUUUCCUACCAGGUGCAACAGAAUAUCUCUCCUCUCCUCUCCACUCCUCUCGUCCUCCUCCUCCUCCUCCUCCUCCUCCUCCUCCCCCUCCCUUCCUCCCUCUUUCUCCUCUCAGCUAAUUUCAAUACCACGGAAAUCUUGUCUUCAGUUUUACAGCCUGAGAACAUGAUUUCUAGCAAGGGUUUGAAGGCUUGCUGAGAAUCUUAGAACAAUGAAAUGAGGAAAAGAGUUCACUCUCAUCAAGCUUAUAGCCAAUGAGGAAACGAUCCAAUUAUGAUUGUAUUUGCUGUGUGGACAUUAUUAGGGAAGUAUUGGAUUUUGUGAAAAAAAAGAUUCCUUUCAAAGACAGUCCCAUGAUGAUUGACCACUGCAGGGAACACAUUUUGAGGAAUCUCAUCUUUCUUUGUGUCAUACCACACACCACAAGGGUGGUCGGCAUGAGGAGCACUUAGGAAUCUGAUAACAAAUUACACCACUUCAAGACAUCGAUGGUUGGUAGGUUUGC
rnacentral:lncRNA from 1 species